AUGCUGACACAGGAAGGAAGGUGUGAGGGCGUGAGGGCGACCUCCGCAUCCCACCCGUCUCUAGGAGGCCAUUCUGUGGCUAGCACCGUUCUGGUUCCAGCCCGGGGUAAACACCGCCCCUGCAACCACUCUCCACACUGGGGCCUGGGAGCAGCCCCCAGCGCAGCCCUUCUCCAGACAGGCUCGCAGCUAAUCACCUCGACUUUGACCUGCCGUCCUCAUCCGGCCUUGUCAGCAGCAAGGGAAGGAGUCUCUUCCUCCCUGCUGCCCUCCAAGUCCUGGUGUUGGAAACUCUCCCUUUGGACCGUCUUUGCUGCCGUUUCAAUAGGAAGGGCACCCGCCCUUAGGUGCAUCGCUGGGUGAGAUCACCGACUGGCCAGGAGAGGGGAGCAGACGCAUCAGAACACAUCCAUCACCGACUGGCCAGGAAAGGGGAGCAGACGCAUUGAAUCACAUCCUGCUUGCCAUGGCCAGUGCUCGGCCACUGAAGGAGUAAGAUGACGGCCACUUCCUCUCUCCCAGGGGCAUCUUUUUUCAAAGGGAGAUAAAAGUGGAGGAAGGAAAAAAACAGGAGCAACCCAUGGUGGUUUUCCAUCUCUUCUCUGACCAGCCUCAAUGAAAAAAAAAAAGUCCAACAUGUGGCCCAAAUGGUCCCAAAGACCAGAGCCACUCAGGUCUAGCCGUGAGUUACAAAUAACAAAGGACGUGGGUAGUGGGAUGGAAUGGGCCAGCUGCCCCACAAAGAAAAGGAAAAGGGGCCAUGUCUGGGUGGCAGAAAGCACUGGUUGACUGCCCCAGCCCUCAAUCCAACCCCCUCCCCUUCCACCCAAGAGUACUAAGUGACACCCCUUCUAGCCAAUCAAUGUGUGCCGAGGGGACCAUGGGGACAGCUCUUGCUGACCUAAUAGAGAUGCUGCCCCUCUCCUUUCCACCAUGCUUCCACUUUCUUCCUGCUGGAAAUGCAAAUGUGAUGGCUGGAACUGCAGCAAUCAUCCUGAGCUCAUAAAGGAAAGACUAAGAAAACCUCAUGUGAAGAGUCCACUCCUUGGAAAAGACUCUGAUGCUGGGAGGGACUGGGGGCAGGAGGAGAAGGGGACGACCGAGGAUGAGAUGGCUGGGUGGCAUCACCAACUCAGUGGACAUGAGUUUGAGUGAACUCCAGGAGUUGGUGAUGGACAGGGAGGCCUGGCGUGCUGCGAUUUGUGGGGUCGCAAAGAGUCGGACACGACUGAGCGACUGAACUGACCUGCACUGAAAAAAUCUCAGACUUUGGUGCUGACAUCCUGAACUUGUAGCCUGUUCUUAUUAUGGGAGGAAAAAUGAACUUCCUUCUGUUUUGGACACUGAAGUUGGGUUUCCCGACCGCUGCUGCCCCACACAUUCCUGACCGAGGCAGUUGGCCAUGCUGUCUCACCCUUUCGUGGCUUUGUCCUGUGUCAAGCCCCGCAUGCGCCCAGCCUCUCGUUCCAGCUUUCUGUCGCGGCUGCUGUCGUGGGAGCCAGCUCCCCACAGCACCCUCCGACAGCACCUGUCUGCUCAGUUCCAGCCCUCUCCCUACCUCGGCAGUGGACACCUCGAACCUGCCCAGC
ensembl:lincRNA